CACUCUCACUUAAUCAAAACCUAUUUCUCCUCUUCACUUAAUCUCUUUAUUUCCUCCGAUUUCAAGCCCAUUUCUUCUUCAUUUCCUUCGAUUUCAAGCCCAUGUAGCUCUCUGCUUUUCUUCAGCAAAGCAAAAUUCCAAAUACAAUAGCUCUCUGCUUUUCUUCAGCGCCUCCUCUAUUGCAAAAUGAAAGAGAAAUGAAAGAAAACUUCAGAUCUAUCAAUCAAUUGGAUAACUCCUGGGGACCUUCAAAGAAGAUGCAAUUUUUGCCGGCUGCUUUUCCAAUCAGUCUCAAGGUAUGCCGAAGCCCAAGCGUUACGAGAACUUUCAGAACUCAAUUUAGUCAGCACCUACAUCACAAGGUGUAUCACAACCUUCAUUAACAACUAGAUCAACACCUUCGCAUUUUGAUGAUCCACCAUAGCUGACUUCAUUUAUUCAACCGAUAGCACGACCAACACCUACAGGUCAUGUUGCAGAAAAUCCGAUUCAGUCAGAUCAGACCACAACACAGCAGGUUCCAUCAGCCCGGGCUGCGUCACAACACUCACCAUCUAGAAAGUGUAGUGGGCGUGUGUCUACGUAACAUUGGACUGUAGAUGCAAUGGGUAUGUUAAUGCCAUCAACUAUAUAGCGGAAAUAUUAUUAUAUUGUAAGUCAAGAAAAAUAAGAGAGGUGCAAAUCCGAUUCUGUUAUUAUUAUCAAAUUGUUCAACCAAUGUCUGUUGUUCAUUGCACUCAUCAAU